AAACAAAAAUACAAAAAAGUCAAAGCUGAAAUCUAUGAAAGCAAAAAGAGAAUCCAUUGUAGCUUUGCUGUGUGCGGGAUACACUUCUGAAGAAUUGCCAGGAAUCUUGGCCUAAUCAACGUAAACCUGGUGCGGUUGACAACCUGCCAAGUCAAAUAAUGGAUGAACUUCACGUUGAUUUGUUGGAGCAUGAUGGUCCUCACUUCCUUGCAAUCUUGAAUGAUCAUCCUUGUUAUCCAUUUCUUCACCAUUUGAAUUCUUGCCCGACUUCGAAACAAGUUGCUUAUGCCCUUACUUCUAUAUUCACCAUGUUCGGGACUCCUAAGACCUUGAGCAAUAACGGACCUCAAUUUGUUUCAUUUGCCUUCAAAAAUUAUCUUUCACACUGGGGUAUUCUCUGGAAACCUAGUUCACUUUAUAACCAUAGUCAAAUGGUUUAUCGGAACACACAGUGCGCACUUUGAAAGAGACCUUGAAACAUCUCAAUGCUUCAUGCCCAACCGAAUCUACCAUCAAGGCCUUUCUACAUCUUAGAAACACUCCAAGACCCAAUGAAGUUUCCCCUAGCCUUGCUUUUUGUAUGUUUCACUGCGUAACGGAAUGGGGUUUUAGCUCUCCCAUUACUGCUACUUUCUUUUGUUUACAAAAGACGGAAAGAAAAUUACAUAAAGGUUUCAUACCCAA